AGAACCUGAAGCACCUUAUAACAUGCAAAAUGCUGUAAUACCUAAUGGUAUUACUUUGAAUCAACUUGCCAAACAUUCUCUCAUCUAUAGAUUUAUGGA